CUAUCGAGGGUUUGCUCAGUUGGAAGAGUGGAGGACUGUAGAUGUAUCAACGGUGAUCUUUAGGUCGCUGGUUCAAAUACAGCUUGAGGGA